UACGUAGGUGGCAAGCGUUGUCCGGAUUUACUGGGCGUAAAGAGCGCGCAGGCGGUCGUUCAAGUCGCGUGUGAAAGCCCCCGGCUCAACUGGGGAGGGUCACGCGAUACUGAUCGACUCGAAGGCAGGAGAGGGUAGUGGAAUUCCCGGUGUAGUGGUGAAAUGCGUAGAGAUCGGGAGGAACACCAGAGGCGAAAGCGGCGACCUGGACAAGUACUGACACUCAACUACGAAAGCGUGGGGAGCAAACAGG
rnacentral:rRNA from 1 species